GGAAAUGUUCAUAUUUAUUUUUCUAUCCCAGACUAUCCUGAAUAAUCGCGGCGUUUCGGAUAAAUCGGGAUAUGUUUAUAUAAAUAAUAGAUUACAUUCCUUUGAAAUUCGUGUUUCCUGUCAUUUUAAUUAGAAAAAUAUCACGGACAUUGAUGAAAGUUUCAUAAAAAUAGGGCCAAUAAUAUAAAAGUUUUAUUGUUGCAUUGCUGCCUCAUCGAUAUCCUAUCUCGGAUCGAGUAAUAUUGCUCGCCAUUAUUUGUGUAGUCGGUAGUAGAUGCUCAAUAAAGAAAAACUAUGUAAUUGUUUUAUUGUAAAUCCUAAGAGAUCAUCAAAAUGCUAAAGUAUCUCUACCGAAGUACUCGAUAAUUGUACAAAAGUCAGGACUCAAAUAUUGCAUUAAUGGAGAUGUAGAAACGAUUCUAUUUUUGGAAAUUGAGAUCUUAGACGUGUCAAAUGUAGAAAAGGACAAUGCGAGACAAAUAUUAAAACGCUGCGAUAAUUUGACUUUUAACUCAAAAAUCAAACUUUCUUAUUUUAAUUUGUGAUCAAUAAAACUUUUACCAAUA